rnacentral:rRNA from 1 species
GAUCAUGGCUCAGGAUGAACGCUGGCGGCGUGCUUAACACAUGCAAGUCGAACGAAGCACUUUAUUUGAUUUCCUUUCGGGACUGAUUAUUUUGUGACUGAGUGGCGGACGGGUGAGUAACGCGUGGGUAACCUGCCUUGGUACAGGGGGAUAACAGUUGGAACGGCUGCUAAUACCGCAUAAGCGCACGGGCAUCGCAUGAUGCAGUGUGAAAAACUCCGGUGGUAUAAGAUGGACCCG